CCUACGGGUGCAGCAGUGAGGAAUAUUGGUAAAUGGACGCAAGUCUGAACCAGCCAUGCCGCGUGCAGGAAGACGGCUCUAUGAGGUGUAAACCGCUUUUGUACGAGGGUAAACGCACAUACGCGUAUCUGUCUGAAAGUACCGUACGAAUAAGGAUCGGCUAACUCCGUGCCAGCAGCCGCGGUAAGACGGAGGAUUCAAGCGUUAGCCGGAUUUAUUGGGUUUAAAGGGUGCGUAGGCGGUGGGAUAAGUUAGAGGCGAAAUCCCGGGGCUCAAAUUCGGAAUUGCCUCUGAUAAUGUUCGGCUAGAGAGUAGGUGCGGGAGGCGGAAUGUAUGGUGUAGCGGUGAAAUGCGUAGAUAUCA
rnacentral:rRNA from 1 species